rnacentral:rRNA from 1 species
AUUGAACGCUAGCGGCAUGCUUUACACAUGCAAGUCGAACGAGUGGCGGACGGGUGAGCAAUAUAUCGGAACGUGCCCAGUAGAGGGGGAUAACUACCCGAAAGAGUGGCUAAUUCCGCACAAUAUGGGAUCGGCCGAUUUCGGAUUAGCUAGUUGGUGGGGUAAAGGCUCACCAAGGCAACGAUCCGUAGCUGGUUUGAGAGGACGACCAGCCACACUGGGACUGAGACACGGCCCAGACUCCUACGGGAGGCAGCAGUGGGGAAUUUUGGACAAUGGGCGAAACCCUGAUCCAGCCAUCCCGCGUGUGUGAGAAGGCCUUCGGGUUGUAAAGCACUUUUGGCAGAGAAGCGGUAUCUGCAGAAUAAGCACCGGCUAACUACGUGCCAGCAGCCGCGGUAAUUC